AACGUCGUGAGACAGUUCGGUCUCUAUCUGUUAUGGGCGUAGGAUAUUUGAGGAGAUCUGACACUAGUACGAGAGGACCGUGUUGGACGGACCGCUGGUUUACCGGUUGUAUCGCCAGGUGCACUGCCGGGUAGCCACGUCCGGAUCGGAUAAGCGCUGAAAGCAUCUAAGCGCGAAGCCGGCUUCAAGAUGAGAUAUCCCUUGAGGGUUGUCGGAGACUACGACGUUGAUAGGCCGCAGGUGUAAAGACGGUAACGUCAAAGCCGAGCGGUACUAAUAGCCCGAGCACUUUCCUCCG
rnacentral:rRNA from 1 species